AGUGAACGCUGGCGGCGUGCCUAAUACAUGCAAGUCGAACGGAGUGGCGCACGGGUGAGUAAUGUAUAGCUAAUCUGCCCUACACUAGAGGACAACAGUUGGAAACGACUGCUAAUACUCUAUAGUGUAGGAUGAGGCUAUAUUGUAUCAGCUAGUUGGUGAGGUAAUGGCUCACCAAGGCUAUGACGCAUAACUGGUCUGUGAGGACGAGCAGUCACCCUGGAACUGAGACACGGUUCAGACUCCUACGGCAGGGAGCGGUAGCGUAUAUUGCUCAAUGGGGGAAACUGUGAAGGAGCAACGCCGCGUGGAGCAUGACAAUUUGCGGAGCGUAAAUUCCUUUUGUUAGGGAAGCGGUACCUAACGAAUAAGCACCGGCUAACUCCGUGCCAGCAGCCGCGGUAAUUC
rnacentral:rRNA from 1 species